rnacentral:lncRNA from 1 species
AUUGUCCUAAACUUCAGAAUAGUGUAAUUGCAGAUGGAAUUAUCAGAACUUCUUACUCUAUUGACAUUUUUCUAUAUCUAUUAGAUUUACCUUGUUGAUUUUCCUCCUAGGCAUUGUUUUAUGUGGAGUGUUGAAGACAGAAGAUUGUUCUAGAUGACGUGCUACUCAUCAUGAGCCCUAUGUGAAGACUUUUCAAUGUGUGAGAUUUAUAGAAAUCUCUUCCUGAAUGUGAUUGAGGAGCUUCAUCCUGGAAUUUUUUCAGAACUACAUGAAUAAUUUACAACAGCAAAAACACCACCACCACCAACAACAACAACAACAACAAAAUCCACAAGGAUCAUUCAAAAACUUUUAUUCCGUUAAAAAAGUAGUAAAGGGACAAGGUCCCUGGAGGAACGCAACACGGAGCACUGAAGAGACAGAAGACAGUACACCAGUAUGGCAUUAA